rnacentral:rRNA from 1 species
GAUGAACGCUGGCGGCGUGCCUAAUACAUGCAAGUCGAGCGAACAGACGAGGAGCUUGCUCCUCUGACGUUAGCGGCGGACGGGUGAGUAACACGUGGAUAACCUACCUAUAAGACUGGGAUAACUUCGGGAAACCGGAGCUAAUACCGGAUAAUAUAUUGAACCGCAUGGCUCAAUAGUAAAAGACGGUUUUGCUGUCACUUAUAGAUGGAUGCGCGCCGCAUUAGCUAGUUGGUAAGGUAACGGCUUACCAAGGCAACGAUGCGUAGCCGAUCUGAGAGGGUGAUCAGCCACACUGGAACUGAGCCACGGUCCAGACUCCUACGGGAGGCAGCAGUAGGGAAUCUUCCACAAUGGGCGAAAGCCUGACGGAGCAACGCCGCGUGAGUGAUGAAGGUCUUCGGAUCGUAAAACUCUGUUAUUAGGGAAGAACAAAUGUGUAAGUAACUAUGCACGUCUUGACGGUACCUAAUCAGAAAGCCACGGCUAACUACGUG